rnacentral:lncRNA from 1 species
CUAGGAUGAAAAUCAGAUUAGAUCUAAUUUUUAACAUGAGGAUUUAAAGAAGAAAUGCCAAAAAAAAUUGAUUGGGUGUUUGGGGCUUCCUAGAGUUCUAGAUCAAAGAGAAAAUGGAGAGAGAAGAAUGAUUCUUUUUUUGGAUCUCUCUUUUGGAUUUUUCUAAAAUAUGAGAAUCCAUAUGAUUUUUAGCAUGAAAAAUCAGAUUAGAUCUGAUUUUUAUCAUGAAAAAUCAAAAAAGAAAAGUUUUUCUUAAAGCCAUGGAAGGAAGAGAGAAAGGUUCUUUCUUGUACGUGGGAGAAUUGAGAAGAAAGGGUUCUUCUCUUGAUCUCUAUCGUAGAGAUUUGAUGCGUGGAUCCAGAAAGAAAAGAAGAGGGUCUCUUUAUUCUUCAUCUUCAUCAUGUUCCUCUUAGAUCAGUCAAAGCAUGGUAUCUUCAUGAGCUAACACUUCCGGAG